rnacentral:rRNA from 1 species
AUUUUGGGCAAUGGGCGCAAGCCUGACCCAGCGACGCCGCGUGGGUGACGAAGGCCUUCGGGUUGUAAAGCCCUUUUCUGAGGGAAGAUGAUGACGGUACCUCAGGAAGAAGCACCGGCUAACUACGUGCCAGCAGCCGCGGUAAUACGUAGGGUGCAAGCGUUGCCCGGAUUUAUUGGGCGUAAAGGGCGCGUAGGCGGCUCGGCACGUCCGUUGUGAAAUCGCCCGGCUCAACUGGGCGGGGUCAGCGGGUACGGCCGAGCUGGAGCAAGCUAGGGGGCAAUGGAAUUCCCGGUGUAGUGGUGGAAUGCGUAGAUAUCGGGAGGAACACCAGUGGCGAAGGCGGUUGCCUGGGGCUUUGCUGACGCUGAUGCGCGAAAGCGUGGGGAGCGAUC